CAAACGAGGUAGUAACACGUAGGUAGACCCCCCAGAGUCGGGCAUAGCCAGCCGAAAGGUUGGGUAAUUCCCGAUAGUCCCGAAAGGGUAAAGGUUUUUUCGCUCUGGGAGUUGCCUGCGUAGUAUCAGCUAGUUGGUAGGGUAAUGGCCUACCAAGGCUACGACGCUUAGGGGAGCUGAGAGGCUGACCCCCACCGAUGGAACUGCGACACGGUCCAUACUCCUACGGGAGGCUGCAGACGAGAAUAUUCCGCAAUGGGCGAAAGCCUGACGGAGCGACGCCGCGUGAUUGAUGAAGUGCUUCGGUACGUAAAGAUCUUUUAUCGGGGACGAAGUUUAUUGACGGUACCCGAUGAAUAAGGGGCUCCUAACUCUGUG
rnacentral:rRNA from 1 species